UAAUUUUCCAACUGACCAGGAAUUUGAAAGGAGUAGUCGGCUCGAGCGGAGAAAUGGGUUGGGCAAUAGCAUUACAUGGCGGCGCCGGCGACAUUCCGCUCUCUCUGCCGCUGGAACGCCGUGAGCCGCGAGAAGCCGCUCUCCGCCACUGCCUCCAGAUCGGCGUCGCCGCUCUCCAGACCAAACGCCCUCCACUGGACGUCGUCGAACUUGUGGUAACCUGCUCUCGUCUCCUUAUUCGUCGUUUGGUUGCUGAGAAAUAACCCAUCUCCCUAUUCCAAACGAAUCUUUUUCCUCUCAUUCUUUGUACUUGUAUAUCUACUACAAAACAAUUUUGACUGAGUUGAUGAUAGGAAUGGCUAGUGAACAGUAUAAAGAGGAAAGAUGAUACAUAAGAGGAUCACGAAAGAAGAUAGGGCAAGCGGACUAUCCAUUUCUUCUUUCUUUUGUUCUCUAAUUCAAAUCUACUUUUUAUAUCUUGGAAUUGAUGAAGAUAUCAAACAAAGAAGGCUGUUGAUUUGUAAAAAUUGCUCUCUGUUUGUAGUUCUUGUUCUGUUUCACAAGGGAUUAUUUUAUUAAAUUAGGUUUUUUUUUUUUGUAGCAUAAUAUUGGCGUUCAGUUAUUAUCAAAUCAUGUAACAGAAAGUGGAAAAAAUGUUGCUAUGUUUCUCAUGAAGCUAUUUGAGAUGGGUUGUCUCUGUAUAAUCAUGGGUCUAGGUCCUUUAUUUGGAUGAUUAUGAGUAUUGGUUCUUGUUUAUUUUCAAUUUUCUGGGACCUCCCUUUACUGAGUGGCUGCAC
rnacentral:lncRNA from 1 species